rnacentral:tRNA from 1 species
GCACCUAUAGUCUAAUGGAUAAGAUUUUCGCCACCGAAGCGAAUGAUGCGGGUUCGAUUCCUGCUAGGUGCA